GCCGGGCAUGGUGGCAUGUGCCUGUAAUCCCAGCUACUCGGGAGGCUGAGGCAGGAGAAUUGCUUGAGCCUGGGAGGCAGAGGUUGCAGUGAGCUGAGAUCAUGCCACUGCACUCUAGCCUGGGCGACAGAGUAAGACUCUGCCUUAA
ensembl:misc_RNA Metazoa_SRP Metazoan signal recognition particle RNA